UACGUAGGGACCGAGCGUUGUCCGGAUUCAUUGGGCGUAAAGAGCUCGUAGGCGGCUGUUCAAGUCGAACGUGAAAACUCGGAGCUCAACUCCGAGCCUGCGUUCGAGACUGGAUGGCUAGAGUCUGGUAGGGGGAUCUGGAAUUCCUGGUGUAGCGGUGGAAUGCGCAGAUAUCGUAAGGAAGACCAGUGGCGAAGGCGGGUCUCUGGACAGUUCCUGACGCUGAGGCACGAAGGUCAGGGGAGCAAACGGG
rnacentral:rRNA from 1 species